CAAAUACAAAAGUACUUUAUAUAAUCGAAUCUCUGAAAAUGAAUUGAACUUCAACUUUCAUGUAUAAGGUAUUCGGUUCUAUCAAAACAACUGGAAACAUGCAAAGUCAGUAGUUUUUAGUAUGCCGCAUCAUUUCAUACUUAAACUGGGAGUUUUUUGGAUAUACUUACUGGGACAUUUUGUUGAAUACUGCUCACCGGCUGAAGAUUGCAAAUGGUCUGCAUGGACCGAACCAGAUAGUGACCAUUUCCAACAUCGUGCUAAGGAUUGUGAUGGCAAAGUGGAAAUUGAGAGUCGGAAUUGCAAUAUCACUACUUGUAGCUUAUCAAAUUGAUUCAUUUUGGUUAGUACUCAUUACAAGAUUUCAACAGCGAGAAACCCAGUCAUUUGGCAAAUCGAGUCAGAUGAAAAGAGUCAAAUCAAACACGAGACGGGCACUGUUACGGAAGAUAUGGUCAAGCUAAAAAAAGUUUCUGAAAAAAGUUUGCAAUACGUCAGAGAAUACCUAAUAUCAGUACUGGCAGUGAUCCUGGUCACUGUGGUGUUUGCUUUCUGGUGUGUAAUGCAAAUGAGAUUAAGGCGUAAAAGAGAGCGUGUGUAUAUUCUUUAUUUACCCACAAACUCCGAUAUUCAUGUAGCAGCAAGGGAGAACCAUGGGAGCCACGCACCCCAACUUUUUUUGGAAACCGACAUUUUCUCUGAGAUUUACAUAUAGAAAAUGAAUUUUGAAGGAACUUAGUAUCAAACCUUUUGAAACAUUGUGAAAAAACCACACACGCCGGUGUAACGAAGAAUAUUGACCAGGGUUGAAAAUUGACCUGGGGGUCUUUUUUCAAUUUUGAAUAUUGACCCGGGGGUCAUUUUUCAACGUUGAAAAUUGAGACCAAAAUCGUGAAAUUUUUACCCGGGGUCAUUUUUCAACGUUAUGAGAAAGAUUUUUCUAAACUCUGGUGACCACGACAUGUUGAAAAUUGAUCCUGUUGAGAAUUGACCCCAACCUCAGAGUUUUGAUUUAAACUGUAACUUACUCUAUAUGGUUUGAAUGUACAAUCAUGCAUAUAUUUGAAAGUUUCAGUUUUAAAAUUUUCAUACUGUCCGAUACCUAUGUGGACGUGGCUGAUUUCUUUUUAGGCUGAUAUGUCCGAUUAAUCAUUAAAUCUUGAGACUGAUAAUAUGAUAUCCAUUUAUUAUCACAAUACUACGUAAAUAAAGCUAAGAAGAUGACCGUUUCCUUUGGAAUGAAACAGGCGAGUCGGGCUAGAAUACUGUUUGACAUAGAACUAAUUUUAAUUCCCCAUGUGACAGAAUUUAAAGUUUAAACUUGUCAUAAUUAAUCUCUGAUAAAUAUAUCUAACAAAUAUAUUGCCCGUUAGGCCAAAAUUAAAAAAUCUAUGUUUUCCCUUUCGUGACCGACCCAAUGAAAUCCCGCCGACUGAAUUGGGUUUUUUUUAACACAUUGAAAAGAUUUUUUUUAAAAGAAACCUGAUUUUAUUGAAAAACGUUUUUUAUUUAAUUUUAUUUUAUUCAAAAGACGUUUCCACAGCCUCAGUUAACCAUGAUUGUUGUGAUUAAUCGAGUGUCUUAUUUUUUAUGGGUAUACUGUGCAUUAAAAAUUACAACCAUUGUUUAUAACUUUUAGUGUUGAUAUUACAAUUGGUUGGCACCUUGUAAUUAGUUAAUAACUCUGCCAAAUUAAUGCCAAAACAAUCAUAAAACCGUUUGCCCACAUUUAUCUUAAAAACUAAAUGAUCCACUGGACAACGGUUGUAAUUGGGUCAAAAGGUUGGACUAUACCUCCAAAAUACACAGAAGUAUACAGAGACUGAUUAUAUUUGUCAUAUAGCUAACACAAUUACAAAACAUUUCAUCCGUAAAAUAUAUGAAUACAUUAAAUAAAUUGAAUUUAAUAGACUGGAUAACAAGUUUUUAAAACUUUAAGAAGUUGUUUUAUUUUUUUAUUAACUUGGUUAAUCCAAAAUUAAUUAAGGUAAAAUCUGUGUAUAUCAUCAUUCUUGUAAAUUAUGCUGUAUCAAAUAUUGACAGUUUCCCUGGUGUCAAACUUCUCCCUACAUUUCUGUUAGGGAGAAACAAAUCUCCCAAAAUUUAGGUUGGUGCCUGUGAAAUGAAAGACUUUUUAAUUUGAAAAAUUUAAACAGUUCUCUUAACUUCGUCAAAUUUCAAAUCAACAGAUUCAAAAGAGUUGGUUUUAGUUAUGACUAUAAUUAAAGUGAAAUUGGGUAAAUUUAUAUAACAUCUUUAUUAUCUAAAUAUUCUCUU